rnacentral:tRNA from 1 species
GCCGCGGUAGCUCAGUUGGGAGAGCGUACGGCUGAAGACCGUAAGGUCGAGGGUUCGACCCCCUCCCGCGGCA